rnacentral:tRNA from 7 species
GCCACUUUAGCUCAGCAGGUAGAGCAUCACCAUGGUAAGGUGGGGGUCACCGGUUCAAGUCCGGUAAGUGGCU